ensembl:lncRNA
CUUCUGUGUAGUUAUGACUUAGGGCUCCUCUGACUCCUCCAUAAAUCACAUCUUGUCAAAUAAGGACGCUACCAAAGAAUAUUCACAGCCAUUCACAGGGUUGCCUGUGAAUGGCUGUGAAUAUUCUUUGGUAGCGUUUCUGUCCUUGGAUUCUUUAAUUUUUUAAUAAACCCUAUCAUUGCUACGUGGUUAUUUUUUGUAUUUACUUUGGAUUGUGCAAAUAUUCCGACGUUAUUUUUUUUAAUUCGGACCAGGGAGUGACAAAUCAAUCCCAUAGCAACGCCCGCGUCUCUACGGCAACAACCUCCCGUGUCCCCCACCACUGCCUCCGAUCACCGCAGCCUCUCCUCUGAUGCUGCUGACCACCACCACCACCACUCUCAGCUGCAUGAUUAGGCAUCCACAUGUUUUUCUGUAUGUGGGGAGAUAACAUCAUGAUUAUCCUGCCACAAUUCGGGUGGAUACGAUAAGGACAACUUUGAACGGGAUACUCGCAUAGCCGGCGUUGUGGUGGUGUCAAAUUCAAGGGUUUUAGCGAUUAUAUUUUGUUCGAAAGCCCGGAGAGAUCAACACCAUUCACUGCGCUGUGUCUGAAUGGAUCCCGCGGUGCUGAUCUUCCUCCUGUAUGUCAUGAUCGCGCACGAGCUUGUCUGCGGUUUGAUGCAAUACCGCAGACAGUCCGCCAAGCCGCGUGGACGGAGUGGACCCAUGUUGUGCACGAGUAUCGCAGUGUACCCCGGGACCUGGAAGAGCAGCACCCUGGCCGUUAGGACGGGGAGAGGGGGGUAGAGACCUCAGGAAGACUGGGAGGAUUGUAAGAAAGGCCUGAAAGCUGGAACUCCAUAAACAUAUAUGACACACAUUCUUGAUUUUGGACAUUUUGAAAGUGUUGUGUUCCCUAAUGGAUGAAUGGAAUAAAGGUUGAACCUGAAAUAAAACCAGAAUUGUUGCCUAAAUGUAUACGAUGUAGCCUAGUAUUUAUGAGUCCGUCAACAGCAUAUAACGUUAACCACAAAUAGAGAAGUAGGCUUUGCGUUGCCUAUCUCAAUGCAACCUGAUGCAUAGGUCAAUUGUGUUUUAUUUAUUUUAUCUCUUCGUAAAUGUUUGUUUGAUUGAGUGUUGUUUCUGUUUGGGUGUUAUAAUUCACAGGGAAACAACUAACGCAAAACCGCCGGUUUAUGAAGGCUGGCUUGUUCUGUAAUGUUUCAUUGUUCUAUUUUCCUGUGUCUUUAAACUAAAGCACUGUUCAGUUGUAGCGCUCCUAACUGUGAUGUAUUCUGAACAAUGACAAUAAAGGCUUUCUAUUCUACUCUUC